rnacentral:rRNA from 1 species
AUUGAACGCUGGCGGAAUGCUUUACACAUGCAAGUCGAACGGCAGCACGGACUUCGGUCUGGUGGCGAGUGGCGAACGGGUGAGUAACAUAUCGGAACGUAUCCAAUAAUGGGGGAUAACUAAUCGAAAGGUUGGCUAAUACCGCAUACGCCCUACGGGGGAAAGCAGGGGAUCUGCGGACCUCGCGUUAAUGGACAGGCGGAUAUCUGAUUAGCUAGUUGGUGAGGUAAAGGCUGACCAAGGGGACGAUCAGUAGCUGGUCUGGGAGGACGACCAGCCACACUGGAACUGAGACACGGUCCAGACUCCUACGGGAGGCAGCAGUGGGGAAUUUUGGACAAUGGGCGCAAGCCUGAUCCAGCCAUUCCGCGUGAGUGAAGAAGGCCUUCGGGUUGUAAAGCUCUUUCGCAAGGGAAGAAAACUUACUUUCUAAUAAAGAGUGAGGUUGACGGUACCUUGAUAAGAAGCACCGGCUAACUACGUGCCAGCAGCCGCGGUAA